CCUACGGGUGGCUGCAGUGGGGAAUUUUGGACAAUGGGCGCAAGCCUGAUCCAGCAAUGCCGCGUGCAGGAUGAAGGCCUUCGGGUUGUAAACUGCUUUUGUACGGAGCGAAAAGGUCUUGGUUAAUACCUGAGGCCCAUGACGGUACCGUAAGAAUAAGCACCGGCUAACUACGUGCCAGCAGCCGCGGUAAUACGUAGGGUGCAAGCGUUAAUCGGAAUUACUGGGCGUAAAGCGUGCGCAGGCGGUGUUGUAAGACAGAGGUGAAAUCCCCG
rnacentral:rRNA from 1 species